rnacentral:rRNA from 1 species
AUUGAACGCUGGCGGCAGGCCUAACACAUGCAAGUCGAGCGGAUGAAGGGAGCUUGCUCCUGGAUUCAGCGGCGGACGGGUGAGUAAUGCCUAGGAAUCUGCCUGGUAGUGGGGGAUAACGUCCGGAAACGGGCGCUAAUACCGCAUACGUCAUGAGGGAGAAAGUGGGGGAUCUUCGGAUCUCACGCUAUCAGAUGAGCCUAGGUCUGAUUAGCUAGUUGGUGGGGUAAAGGCCUACCAAGGCGGCGAUCCGUAACUGGUCUGAGAGGAUGAUCAGUCACACUGGAACUGAGACACGUUCCAGACUCCUACGGGAGGCAGCAGUGGGGAAUAUUGGACAAUGGGCGAAAGCCUGAUCCAGCCAUGCCGCGUGUGUGAAGAAGGUCUUCUGAUGGUAAAGCACUUUAAGUUGGGAGGAAGGGCAGUAAGUUAAUACCUGGCUGUUUUGACGUUACCAACAGAAUAAGCACCGGCUAACUUCGUG